AUGACACGGGCCAUGGUCGUGGAGUGUUUCGUCCGCGCAUGCGGGCUGGUCAUCGUCAACACCGUCUGCAUCGGCGGCACAACCAUCAUCCUCUACGCGCUUGUCCGCCUGUCCCGGAAGCCCCACACCAGCAAGAAAUCCAUCGUCGGGUUCACGUUCUUCUUCCUCGGCUCGUUCUGCGUCCUCGCCGGCUUCUACACGUUCUUCUGCGGCGCCUUCUUCCCGUGGUCAGCGCUGUGCCGGUGCCUGGCCUCCACCCACCGGGCGCUCCUGCGGCACCUCCGUUCCGCGGGGCGGCUUCUUUGCCUGCCGUGCCGGUGUGCGCGCGCCAGGCUACGGCGCCGAAGCGGUAGCGGUGGCGGCACCAGCGCUCUGCCGCAGUUUCUGGAGCAGAUACAGGGCCACAUGCCCGCGCUGGCACGGGAGGCGCCGAUGCAUGGCGGCGCACGGGCGGCGACGGCGUAUGACAUCCUCUCGUACGAGCAGCCGGAGUGCGGCGGCGGCACGCCGGAGUGCCCGGUCUGCCUCGGGGAGGUGGAGAAGGGGGAGACGGUGAAGCGGCUGCCGGCGUGCCUGCACAUGUUCCACCAGCAGUGCAUCGACCCGUGGCUGCAGGAGCACUCCACGUGCCCGGUCUGCCGGUGCAUCGUCUUCGCGCCAUUGCCGGCCCAAAUGGUAUGA
rnacentral:rRNA from 1 species